rnacentral:rRNA from 1 species
UACGUAGGGUGCGAGCGUUGUCCGGAAUUACUGGGCGUAAAGAGCUCGUAGGUGGUUUGUCACGUCGUCUGUGAAAUUCCGGGGCUUAACCUCGGGCGUGCAGGCGAUACGGGCAUAACUUGAGUACUGUAGGGGAGACUGGAAUUCCUGGUGUAGCGGUGAAAUGCGCAGAUAUCAGGAGGAACACCAAUGGCGAAGGCAGGUCUCUGGGCAGUUACUGACGCUGAGGAGCGGAAGCAUGGGUAGCGAACAGGAUUAGAUACCCCGUA